GGGCUGGUGGUGCAAUGGUAGCACCUCCUGCUAGAGCGGGGAAGGGCCCAGGUUCAAUUCCUGGCCAGUCUG